rnacentral:rRNA from 1 species
GGGCGUAAANGAGCUCGUANGCGGUUUGUCGCGUCCGCUGUGAAAGCCCGGGGCUCAACCCCGGGUCGGCAGUGGGUACGGGCAGACUAGAGUGCAGUAGGGGAGACUGGAAUUCCUGGUGUAGCGGUGAAAUGCGCAGAUAUCAGGAGGAACACCGAUGGCGAAGGCAGGUCUCUGGGCUGUUACUGACGCUGAGGAGCGAAAGCAUGGGGAGCGAACAGGAUUAGAUACCCUGGUAGUCCAUGCCGUAAACGUUGGGCACUAGGUGUGGGGGACAUUCCACGUCCUCCGCGCCGUAGCUAACGCAUUAAGUGCCCCGCCUGGGGAGUACGGCCGCAAGGCUAAAACUCAAAGGAAUUGACGGGGGCCCGCACAAGCGGCGGAGCAUGCGGAUUAAUUCGAUGCAACGCGAAGAACCUUACCAAGGCUUGACAUCCACCGGACCGCCCCAGAGAUGGGGUUUCCCUUCGGGGCCGGUGGACAGGUGGUGCAUGGUUGUCGUCAGCUCGUGUCGUGAGAUGUUGGGUUAAGUCCCGCAACGAGCGCAACCCUCGUUCUAUGUUGCCAGCACGUGAUGGUGGGGACUCAUAGGAGACUGCCGGGGUCAACUCGGAGGAAGGUGGGGAUGA